GGAGUUGCAACCCGAGCAGCUGGUGGGCUGUCUAUCCCCAGGUCCAGGGCCAACAGUGAACACACCUUCAUUGCCUCAAGCCUGAUGGGGUCCAGUGCAGCCUCUUGGGAGAGAUCAUCAAGCGUUUUGAGCAAAAGGGAUUCCUCCUCAUUGCUAUGAAAUUAAUUCAGGCUUCAGAAGACCUUCUCAAAGAACACUACAUUGACCUGAAGGACCGACCUUUCUUUGCUGGCCUGGUAAAGUACUUGCAAUCAGGGCCUGUGGUUGCCAUGGCCUGGGAGGGGCUGAAUGUGGUGAAGACAGGCCAAGUGAUGCUCGGGGAGACCAACCCUUCGUACUCCAAGCCUGGGACUAUCCAUGGGGACUUUUGCAUCCAAGUUGUCAGGAACAUUACCCAUGGCAGCGAUUCCACAUAGAGUGCAGAGGAGAUUGGCUUGUGAUUUUGGCCUGAAGAGCUGGUGCAUUAGAAGAGCUGUGCUCAGAACUGGAUCUGUGGGUGACAAGAGAGCAGACCUCAGGGAACUGGGAGCGCUCUCUGUUCAGUAUUAUGUGCUACCAUCAGAUUAAAAUGUUUCAUUCC